CGGAGUGUAGCUCAGCCUGGUAGAGCACCGUCUUCGGGAGGCGGGGGUCCUCAGUUCGAUUCUGGGCACUCCGACCA
rnacentral:tRNA from 1 species